UACGUAGGGGGCAAGCGCUGUCCGGAAUCAUUGGGCGUAAAGGGUGCGUAGGCGGCGCGGUAAGUCGGGUGUGAAAUCUCGGAGCUUAACUCCGAAACUGCAUUCGAUACUGCCGUGCUUGAGGACUGGAGUGGAGACUGGAAUUUACGGUGUAGCGGUGAAAUGCGUAGAUAUCGUAAGGAAGACCAGUGGCGAAGGCGGGUCUCUGGACAGUUCCUGACGCUGAGGCACGAAGGUCAGGGGAGCAAACGGG
rnacentral:rRNA from 1 species